AACGCUGGCGGCGUGCUUAACACAUGCAAGUCGAACGAGGGAAUUGAAAGCUUGCUUUUGAAACCCGAGUGGCAAACGGGUGAGUAACGCGUAGACAACCUGCCUCUCAGAUGGGGACAACAUCCCGAAAGGGGUGCUAAUACCGAAUGUUGUGCAACCUCCACAUGGAGGAUGGCACCCAAAAGGUGGUUUUCGGCCACCGCUGAGAGAUGGGUCUGCGUCUGAUUAGCUUGUUGGCGGGGUAACGGCCCACCAAGGCGACGAUCAGUAGUCGGUCUGAGAGGAUGAACGGCCACAUUGGAACUGAGACACGGUCCAGACUCCUACGGGAGGCAGCAGUGGGGAAUCUUCCGCAAUGGGCGCAAGCCUGACGGAGCAACGCCGCGUGAGUGAAGAAGGGUUUCGGCUCGUAAAGCUCUGUUGAAGGGGACGAACAACAGGUGUAGGAAAUGAUAUCUGUUUGACGGUACCUUUCGAGGAAGCCACGGCUAACUACGUG
rnacentral:rRNA from 1 species